rnacentral:rRNA from 1 species
GACGAACGCUGGCGGCGUGCUUAACACAUGCAAGUCGAACGAAGUGGCGAACGGGUGAGUAACGCGUAAUCAACCUGCCCUUCAGAGGGGGACAACAGUUGGAAACGACUGCUAAUACCGCAUACUGAAGGAGGGGAUUGGGUCGGAUAAGCAAGUUGGAGGGGUAACGGCCCACCAAGGCGAUGAUCAGUAGCCGGGCUGAGAGGAUGAACGGCCAGCUUGGGACUGAGAAACGGCCCCGACUCCUACGGGAGGCAGCAGUGGGGAAUCUUCCGCAAUGGACGAAAGUCUGACGGAGCAACGCCGCGGGAGUGAUGACGGCCUUCGGGUUGUAAAGCUCUGUUAAUCGGGACGCGGUACCGGAAUAGAAAGCCACGGCUAACUACGUGCCAGCCGCCGCGGUAAUUC